rnacentral:misc_RNA from 1 species
GAAAUGCGAUAAGUAGUGUGAAUUGCAGACUUUAGUGAAUCAUCGAAUCUUUGAACGCACAUUGCGCCCCUUGGUAUUCCAUUGGGCAUGCCUGUUCGAGCGUCAUUUACACCCUCAAGCUCACUCUUGGUGUUGGGCGUCUGUCCGCGCUUUCGGCGUGGACUCGCCCCAAAUCCAUUGGCAGCGGCUUCGCCGGCUUCUCGCGCAGCACUUUGCGCUCUUGAAGGCUUUCGGCGGGCUCGCGUCCAUCAAGUAACCCCUCAUUUUGACCUCGAAUCAGGUAGGGAUACCCGCUGAACUUACGC